rnacentral:tRNA from 7 species
GGGCGGGUAGCUCAGCGGUAGAGCACGUGACUUUUAAUCAUGUGGUCGAGGGUUCGAUCCCCUCCCCGCUCACCA